GAACGGUAGCACAGAGAGCUUGCUCUUGGGUGACGAGUGGCGGACGGGUGAGUAAUGUCUGGGAAACUGCCCGAUGGAGGGGGAUAACUACUGGAAACGGUAGCUAAUACCGCAUAACGUCGCAAGACCAAAGAGGGGGACCUUCGGGCCUCUUGCCAUCGGAUGUGCCCAGAUGGGAUUAGCUAGUAGGUGGGGUAACGGCUCACCUAGGCGACGAUCCCUAGCUGGUCUGAGAGGAUGACCAGCCACACUGGAACUGAGACACGGUCCAGACUCCUACGGGAGGCAGCAGUGGGGAAUAUUGCACAAUGGGCGCAAGCCUGAUGCAGCCAUGCCGCGUGUAUGAAGAAGGCCUUCGGGUUGUAAAGUACUUUCAGCGAGGAGGAAGGCGUUGUGGUUAAUAACCGCAGCGAUUGACGUUACUCGCAGAAGAAGCACCGGCUAACUCCGUGCCAGCAGCCGCGGUAAUACGGAGGGUGCAAGCGUUAAUCGGAAUUACUGGGCGUAAAGCGCACGCAGGCGGUCUGUCAAGUCGGAUGUGAAAUCCCCGGGCUCAACCUGGGAACUGCAUCCGAAACUGGCAGGCUAGAGUCUUGUAGAGGGGGGUAGAAUUCCAGGUGUAGCGGUGAAAUGCGUAGAGAUCUGGAGGA
rnacentral:rRNA from 1 species